ACAGGUAUCCAUGGUGCGUGCGCAGGAAAAGUGAUACCUAGUAGCGCUCGUGUGGAUACGUGCAGGCUACGUCAAAUACGCACGUUCUCAGUUAUUUCGCCGAGCGAGGCAUCGGUGACAGUUGAUUAUUGUGACCGGGACGCGGUGAAUAAUUGUGACGUAAUUAACUCGUUAGCCCAGUGAAUACCGCAGAAACGAAGUAGUUCGGACUUCGGGAAUUGUAUGAAUACCGUAUCAACCGAAGCUAUGAUUGACAACGGAGUCCGUAAAUAAUUGACGUAACACGAGAAAAUCGUGGACACGAUCACCGAAGAGAAGAGGAAGGUUCAUCAACUAGCAUUAGAGUCUUCCCGAUCAGAUGCUGCAGCCACCUGGUCCGCCUCCGUCUUUGACUUUCUUUUUGGUGCAUAACUCAAGCUUGCCUUGUCAAAGUCCAUCAUCAUCACUCCUAAGUCACCGCUGUAUCGGUUUUUAGCUACCUAAAAAGUGCACAAUACAAUGUAGAAACUGUUGUGCAUGUAUUAAAAAGUCAAUUACCUGUAAAUAUUUUUUCCCUCGUACACUGGUGAGUCUCUUGUCCUGUAUUAUGAGAAUAUUGUCAGCCUCUUGGCUAGCCUUA